rnacentral:rRNA from 1 species
CGCUGGCGGCGUGCCUAAUACAUGCAAGUCGAGCGGACCGACGGGAGCUUGCUCCCUUAGGUCAGCGGCGGACGGGUGAGUAACACGUGGGUAACCUGCCUGUAAGACUGGGAUAACUCCGGGAAACCGGGGCUAAUACCGGAUGCUUGAUUGAACCGCAUGGUUCAAUCAUAAAAGGUGGCUUUUAGCUACCACUUNCAGAUGGACCCGCGGCGCAUUAGCUAGUUGGUGAGGUAACGGCUCACCAAGGCGACGAUGCGUAGCCGACCUGAGAGGGUGAUCGGCCACACUGGGACUGAGACACGGCCCAGACUCCUACGGGAGGCAGCAGUAGGGAAUCUUCCGCAAUGGACGAAAGUCUGACGGAGCAACGCCGCGUGAGUGAUGAAGGUUUUCGGAUCGUAAAACUCUGUUGUUAGGGAAGAACAAGUACCGUUCGAAUAGGGCGCACCUUGACGGUACCUAACCAGAAAGCCACGGCUAACUACGUGCCAGCAGCCGCGGUAAUACGUAGGUGGCAAGCGUUGUCCGGAAUUAUUGGGCGUAAAGCGCGCGCAGGCGGUUUCUUAAGUCUGAUGUGAAAGCCCCCGGCUCAACCGGGGAGGGUCAUUGGAAACUGGGGAACUUGAGUGCAGAAGAGGAGAGUGGAAUUCCACGUGUAGCGGUGAAAUGCGUAGAGAUGUGGAGGAACACCAGUGGCGAAGGCGACUCUCUGGUCUGUAACUGACGCUGAGGCGCGAAAGCGUGGGGAGCGAACAGGAUUAGAUACCCUGGGUAGUCCACGCCGUAAACGAUGAGUGCUAAGUGUUAGAGGGUUUCCGCCCUUUAGUGCUGCAGCAACGCAUUAAGCACUCCGCCUGGGGAGUACGGUCCCAAGACUGAACUCAAAGAAUUGA